rnacentral:lncRNA from 1 species
UUUUUUUUUGUUGACGCUACUGGUACCUCAAAAUAAUACAUCAAAUAUGGCUCAAUUGCACCAAAAAUUUGGAAUUUAAACUCAAUCUUAUAAAAAUACAACAAAAUACUCCCUCCAUCCCAAAAUAAGUGUCUCAACUUUUUACUAGCUCUAGUACAAAUUUGUACUAAGCUCAAGACACUUAUUUUGGGACAGAGGGAGUAGAUAAAAACAUGACAAAACUACAAACGGUACAUGAUAAAGAAAAGAAUACCAAAUCAAUGGUUUGCUUCAUCAGUGUCUUCCAUAACCUCAUCUAAAACCCCAGGUAUAGACACUUCCGUUGCGGCAGCAGCAACCGAUGAAAAAUAUAUAUUCAUCAUUUAUUUCUACAAAACAAACUGAAAUUGAUAUCAUCAUCAGCAACAACAACAAAAACAUUCGUAUUCAAAUACAAUUCGAAUGAAAUUGAAUUUUUGACAGCAGCAACAACCAUAAGCGGUACUCCAGUAGCAAACAAUCCCCUGGUAGCAAAUCCAAACAUUAUAGCAGGUCAAAAAAUGGUCAAUCUAUAAAAUUUUAACAACUGCAGCAGCCAUUACCAAUAGGCAGUAGCACACUUCACAUCCACAUAUUAGAUAGUUAGCAUAAAAAAUUGGUCAAUCUAUCCCCUGCCAAUAUCCCAUUCAUAAGCAUAGUAGAAGUUUGAGUAUUUGUUGAAAUUACCUGGCCACCUAGGCGGUAGACGGUGUGGAGGUAGGAUUGGUCCACUGGAGACCAAGAGAGGCCGGGGCAGAGCCGGUGUGCCGGGAGCAGAGCCAAGCAGGCGGACUAGGCCACCAGGCGAGCGGACGAGCGACAGAUAGGCGAGCGGAGGAGGGACCGGGGAGGCGAGGACGACCAGGGAACACCGGAGCAGAGGGGAGUCACCGGCGGGCGGCGACGGAUGCCUCGGCGCACUGGAGAACUCGCGUGCGUGGGCGUGGCUAGGUCUAGGCGACCUGGGUUGUGCGACUGCCAAGACGGAGAUGUUGUCCUAGGCCCUGGUUGUGUGUUGGGCUAAGCCCCAGGCCCGUUCAAAAAUUUGGCUAGAUAAUAGCUAGAAAAAAAAGCCACGCCCCGGGCCUGGGCCCUGGGGCCCAGAUCCGCCCCUGCUACACAUGCGGUAUUUAGACUUUGAUGCUUUGAAAAGUCAUAAGAUCCUCAAAGGAAAAAUUCAUGACUUCGCUUACAAUCUGUUGUUUAACCAAAUUUCUGUUGUGCACACAUAUUUGCUUGCGCCUGCUCUUUUUGACUAUCACAACGGAGGACGAUAUUUUGUUCUUGAGAGCGAGGUUUGAGCUCACAACGCAGCAGUGGAGGCAGCACGGCGGGCUGAGGCAUCAGAACCGAUGGCCUCCGUGAGCUACCACGCCGACUACCAUCCAGGCCAAAAGCCUAAGAUUGGGGGAGUAUGUAUUCCCACCGACAUUACAUUCAAGUUCGCACAUUUCAUUCCAGUUGUGGGUGUCCACACUUUUUCAUUGUAUCAUCCAUGUUUAAUUUAUUUUCUUGCUUUCUUCUUGUGUGUUUGAAAAACUUUGAGAAAAUCCCAAAAAUACGUUUCUUGCUUCUUUUUUAAUUUUCUUCCUAGUUUAAAUUGUUGUAGUACUAAAAAGAAAACCCAAAAAUAUUUCCUUGUUUUUCUUUUACUUGUUGGGAGCUUUCCCGUGUAAAUAGUUUUUCUCGUUUUUGCUUUUCCCUUUUCUUUUCGUUCGCUUGCCUUCGAAAAACCAAAAAACUACAAAAAUAUUUUAGUGUGUUUCUCUUAAUUUCUUUUUCUAUUAUCAUGUCAUACCGAGGAGAAGACCACGAUGAAAAUAUUGAGUGGCUCUCAUUUGCAUUAUUGUUGAUCUAACAAAGAGCUCAUAUUACCUUGUCUUUUCCUCUUGAAUAAAAUAUUUGCAGAUUCCAGCUUAGUCCACGACACUCUUGCACUUAUAUUAUUUUAAAUCGUUCGGUCGUGCAAGUGAAAGGCAAUAAUGACGAUAUUAGAUGAACUGGUCGUGGCAGAGAGAAAUGGGUAUGAACUUGACUUGUUUUGUUUUUGUAAAUAUGUUUAACCUAGUAUCCAUGAUUCAGCCUAUUAUAAUGAAACAUGUUUGUAAUGGCAAUUAAGGAUUAUAGUUUCUCAUGCCAUGCAUAAGUAGCUAGGAGUGAAUAAUGACUUAUCUUGGAUAUCAGCAUUGCGUUAAAAUGAUUGUGAUGUAGUAUGAUAAUAUGGUAUCCUCCUCUGAAUGUUCGAGUGGCUUGACUUGGCACAUGUUCAUGCAUGUAAUUGAAUCAAAAUCAACAUAGCAUCUAUGAUAUUUAUGUUCAUGGUGUUCAUAUCCUACUCAUGCUAGUAUCCAAUGUUACUUAUGCAUAAUGCAUGUUCAUGACCGUUGUUGCUCUCUAGAUGCCGUUUCUCAACCUAAUUGCUAGCCUUCGCCUGUACUAAGUGGGAACUCUACUUGUACAUCCAAAAACUUGAAACCCAAGUUAUUCCAGAUGAGUCCACCAUACCUGCCUAUAUGCGGCAUUACCCUGCCGUCCUAAGUAAAUUUGCAUGUGCCACCUCUAAAAACUUCAAAUAAAUAUCCUUUUUGUGUGCCUGGAUCGUUCAUGAAACGAUAGGAGGUAGUCGGUAUCUUCCAUGCUAAGCGGGUUAUUCUCAGGUUGAGUGUUUAUUCACUUGCCAUCACACGAGAAAAGGGCGGUAAUAGGGAUGCUCAGUCCCAAACUGCAAAAAGAAAAGAGCUUACAAAUAAUCAAACAAAAACUCCCAAUGGAGUCAUAACCUUUACCUUUCCGCUUGGGAACCGCCACUAGCGUGCUUAGCAUGAAAGAUAUUGAUAAUUGAUGGUCAUGAAGUAAAUGAGAAGGGUGCAUGUCUCAAAAUAUCAUUUACCUUUGUUUUAAAAACCUGAGCUCUGACACCUCUGCAAAUCACUGCUUCCCUCUGUGAAGGGACUGUCUAUUUACUUCUAUGUUGUGUCAUCACCUUCUCAAAUAAGCGCCAGAACAUGAGAGCACUGUUGUCAUGCUGAUGCAUUGUGUAUAGCUAAUGUUGGUGCAUCAUGACUGGAUCUUUUCUACCAUGAAUUACAAUGUUGAGUCAUUGCUUGAACUUUGGGGGUGCUCUGCAUUUAUGUUUUGCGGUCUCAGAAAGGGCUAGCGAGAUACCAGUAUUGUCAUAUUAUAUCAUGGUUGUUUUGACAACGUGUUGCUAUUUGAGAUAUCUUAUUAUUGUUCUCUAGUUGUUUAUGUCAUUGAUAUGAGUUAAAAUAAUUUUUAAAAGUUAUUGUCGACAUGGUUAGUUAUAAUCCUUGCUGAAAACCUGGGUGUUGUUUAAGCUUAUUUAUGAAACAAGAGCAAAAGAGUUCUUAAAAGUUUUUUCUUUUUCACUUUCAGUUUAUCAACUGAAUUGCUUGAGGACAAGCAAAGGUUUAAGCUUGAGGGAGUUGAUACGUCUCCAACAUAUCUAUUUUUUCUGACACUUUUACUCUUAUUUUGUACUCUAAUUUGCAUGAUUUGAAUGAAACUAACCCCGGACUGAUGAUGUUUUUAGCAGAACUACCAUGGUAUUAUUUUUAUGCAGAAAUAAAAGUUCUCGGAAUGGAACGAAACUUUGCGAGGAUUUUUUAUAUCAAAUAAGAGAAUUUCUGGAGCCAGGAGGUACCUGAGGGGGGCACCUGGGUGGGCACAGCUCAGCCCGGGCGUUCGGUCUUUUUGGUUUGUUCGGUCCGGUCUUUUCGGUCUUCUAAUAGUUCGGUCUUUCAUAAUUGAAGACCGAAAUAAUUUUGGUAUUUUUGGUUCUUAACUAUUCGGUCUUCGGUCUUUACAAUUCGGUCUUCGGUCCCGACCAAACAGACCAAAUUAAUUGCUACAACUCAGAUUCUUGAUACUUCCAGUACAAUUCUAUGUUUAUAUUUGACAGGAAAUAAGAAGAGUCAUAUCUGACACAAAGUAAGAAGAUUCAUGAUUCAUGGUCCAGCAGCAAGAUUCAUGUAUGCAUAUCAUUUAUAUUUGACACAAAGUAAGAAGAUAAAAAGCAAAAACAUUUACAUUUGACAGAAAGUGAGAAGAUAACAAGCAACACCACUUAUAUUUGACACAAAGUAAGAAGAUCACAAGCAACAACAGCCCAUGGAAUAUUGGAAUCAACAAGCAGCAAACAGCGGACCACCAUCACUUAGUACUUGAUAACAUAGUACUUGACAUCAAACAAAUCAAUUUCAGCACCACCAUGGACCUUGUGGUUUCCCUUCACCUGGUCCCCAAAUUCUUC